UACAGAGGUCCCAAGCGUUGUUCGGAUUCACUGGGCGUAAAGGGUGCGUAGGCGGCCUGGUAAGUCUGUUGUGAAAUCUCCAAGCUUAACUUGGAAACUGCAGUGGAUACUAUCCGGCUAGAGGAAUGGAGGGGAGACUGGAAUACUUGGUGUAGCAGUGAAAUGCGUAGAUAUCAAGUGGAACACCAGUGGCGAAGGCGAGUCUCUGGACAUUUCCUGACGCUGAGGCACGAAAGCGUGGGGAGCAAACAGG
rnacentral:rRNA from 1 species